rnacentral:rRNA from 1 species
GGUUAAAAAGCUCGUAGUUGGAUCUCGGCGAACAGGGGGCGGUUCGUUAUUUGACGGUACUGCCCCAUUUGUUCGUAUUUUUGCAAGAGGAUUGGGGGUCCCCUUUGUUGGGUGUCUCCGGUCGCUUGCAGGUUUACUUUGAAAAAAUUAGAGUGCUCAAAGCAGGCUUACACGCUUGAAUAUUCGUGCAUGGAAUAAUAGAAUAGGAAGUCGUUUCUAUUUUGUUGGUUUUCGGAAAAUGACUUAAUGAUUAAUAGGGACAAUCGGGGGCAUUAGUAUUCAAACGACAGAGGUGAAAUUCUUGGACCGUUUGAAGACUAACUACUGCGAAAGCAUUUGCCAAGAGUGUUUUCAUUAAUCAAGAACGAAAGUUAGAGGUUCGAAGGCGAUCAGAUACCGCCCUAGUUCUAACCAUAAACGAUGCCAGCUAGCGAUCUGCGGGUGUGUAAAAACAAGACCCCGCAGGGAGCUUCCGGGAAACCAAAGCUUGUGGGUUCCGGGGGAAGUAUGGUUGCAAAGCUGAAACUUAAAGGAAUUGACGGAAGGGCACCACCAGGAGUGGAGCCUGCGGCUUAAUUUGACUCAACACGGGAAAUCUCACCAGGCCCGGACACCGGAAGGAUUGACAGAUUGAGAGCUCUUUCUCGAUUCGGUGGGUGGUGGUGCAUGGCCGUUCUUAGUUGGUGGAGUGAUUUGUCUGGUUAAUUCCGAUAACGAACGAGACUCUGUCCUGCUAAAUAGUAAGCUGAUUACUUUGUCAGCUUGUCUUCUUAGAGGGACUGGCGGAUUUAAACCGCACGAGAUUGAGCAAUAACAGGUCUGUGAUGCCCUUAGAUGUUCUGGGCUGCACACGCGCUACACUGAAGGGAU